rnacentral:rRNA from 1 species
GUCUACGGCCAUGCCACCCUGAACAAGCCCCAUCCCAAAUGAUCUCAGAAGCUAAGCAGGGUUGGGCCUGGUUAGUACUUGGAUGGGAGACUGCUUAGGAAGAACGGGUGCUAUAGGCG